rnacentral:rRNA from 1 species
AUCUAUGGCCAUGCCACACUGAAUGUGCCCGAUCUCGUCUGAUCUCAGAAGCUAAGCAGGGUCGGGCCUAGUUAGUAGUUGUAUGGGAGACCACCUAGGAAGACCAGGUGCUGUAGAUG